UACAGAGGUCUCAAGCGUUGUUCGGAUUCAUUGGGCGUAAAGGGUGCGUAGGCGGCGCGGUAAAGUCGGAUGUGAAAUCUCGGAGCUUAACUUCGAAACUGCAUUCGAUACUGCCGUGCUUGAGGACUGGAGAGGAGACUGGAAUUUACGGGUGUAAGCGGUGAAAUGCGUAGAUAUCGUAAGGAAGACCAGUGGCGAAGGCGG
rnacentral:rRNA from 1 species